AGCGAACGCUGGCGGCAGGCCUAACACAUGCAAGUCGAGCGCCCCGCAAGGGGAGCGGCAGACGGGAGAGUAACACGUGGGAACGUACCCUUCAGUACGGAACAACCAAGGGAAACUUUGGCUAAUACCGUAUACGUCCGUAAGGAGAAAGAUUUAUCGCUGAAGGAUCGGCCCGCGUCUGAUUAGCUAGUUGGUGAGGUAACGGCUCACCAAGGCGACGAUCAGUAGCUGGUCUGAGAGGAUGAUCAGCCUCACUGGGACUGAGACACGGCCCAGACUCCUACGGGAGGCAGCAGUGGGGAAUAUUGGACAAUGGGCGCAAGCCUGAUCCAGCCAUGCCGCGUGGGUGAUGAAGGCCCUAGGGUUGUAAAGCCCUUUCGGCGGGGAAGAUAAUGACGGUACCCGCAGAAGAAGCCCCGGCUAACUUCGUGCCAGCCGCCGCAGUAAGAC
rnacentral:rRNA from 1 species